AUACGGAGGGUGCAAGCGUUAUCCGGAUUCAUUGGGUUUAAAGGGUACGUAGGCGGAUAGAUAAGGUAGUGGUGAAAUCCCGAAGCUCAACUUCGGAACUGCCAUUAAAACUGUCUAUCUUGAAUUUGGUUGAAGUGGGCGGAAUAUGACAUGUAGCGGUGAAAUGCAUAGAUAUGUCAUGGAACACCAAUAGUGAAGACAGCUCACUAAGCCAAUAUUGACGCUGAGGUACGAAAGCAUGGGUAGCGAACAGGAUUAGAAACCCUAGUAGUCC
rnacentral:rRNA from 1 species